AGUCGAGCGAACAGACGAGGAGCUUGCUCCUCUGACGUUAGCGGCGGACGGGUGAGUAACACGUGGAUAACCUACCUAUAAGACUGGGAUAACUUCGGGAAACCGGAGCUAAUACCGGAUAAUAUAUUGAACCGCAUGGUUCAAUAGUGAAAGACGGUUUUGCUGUCACUUAUAGAUGGAUCCGCGCCGCAUUAGCUAGUUGGUAAGGUAACGGCUUACCAAGGCAACGAUGCGUAGCCGACCUGAGAGGGUGAUCGGCCACACUGGAACUGAGACACGGUCCAGACUCCUACGGGAGGCAGCAGUAGGGAAUCUUCCGCAAUGGGCGAAAGCCUGACGGAGCAACGCCGCGUGAGUGAUGAAGGUCUUCGGAUCGUAAAACUCUGUUAUUAGGGAAGAACAAAUGUGUAAGUAACUAUGCACGUCUUGACGGUACCUAAUCAGAAAGCCACGGCUAACUACGUGCCAGCAGCCGCGGUAAUACGUAGGCGGCAAGCGUUAUCCGGAAUUAUUGGGCGUAAAGCGCGCGUAGGCGGUUUUUUAAGUCUGAUGUGAAAGCCCACGGCUCAACCGUGGAGGGUCAUUGGAAACUGGAAAACUUGAGUGCAGAAGAGGAAAGUGGAAUUCCAUGUGUAGCGGUGAAAUGCGCAGAGAUAUGGAGGAACACCAGUGGCGAAGGCGACUUU
rnacentral:rRNA from 1 species